rnacentral:rRNA from 1 species
GAUGAACGCUGGCGGCGUGCCUAAUACAUGCAAGUCGAGCGAACAGAUAAGGAGCUUGCUCCUUUGACGUUAGCGGCGGACGGGUGAGUAACACGUGGGUAACCUACCUAUAAGACUGGGAUAACUUCGGGAAACCGGAGCUAAUACCGGAUAACAUUUGGAACCGCAUGGUUCUAUAGAGAAAGAUGGUUUUGCUAUCACUUAUAGAUGGACCCGCGCUGUAUUAGCUAGUUGGUAAGGUAAAGGCUUACCAAGGCUACGAUACGUAGCCGACCGGAGAGGCUGAUCGGCCACACUGGAACUUGGACACGGUCCAGGCGCCUACGGGAGGCAGCAGUAGGGAAUCUUCCGCAAUGGGCGGAAGCCUGACGCAGCGACGCCGCGUGAGUGAUGAAGGGUUUCGGUUCGUAAAACUCUGUUAUUAGGGAAGAACAAAUGUGUAAGUAACUGUGCCCGUCUUGACGGUACCUAAUAAAAAAGCAACGGCUAACUACGUG